ACGCUGGCGGCGUGCCUAACACAUGCAAGUCGAACGGACGAGGGGAGCUUGCUCCCCAAGUUAGUGGCGGACGGGUGAGUAACACGUGAGCAACCUGCCCUUCGGAGGGGACAACAGCGGGAAACUGCUGCUAAUACCGCAUAAUGUAUCCUGGAGGCAUCUCCGGGAUACCAAAGAUUUUAUCGCCGAAGGAUGGGCUCGCGUCUGAUUAGAUAGUUGGUGGGGCAACGGCCCACCAAGUCUGCGAUCAGUAGCCGGACUGAGAGGUUGAACGGCCACAUUGGGACUGAGAUACGGCCCAGACUCCUACGGGAGGCAGCAGUGGGGAAUAUUGGGCAAUGGGGGCCAACCCUGACCCAGCAACGCCGCGUGGAGGAAGAAGGCUUUCGGGUUGUAAACUCCUUUGACGAGGGACGAUGAUGACGGUACCUCGAAAACAAGCCACGGCUAACUACGUGCCAGCAGCCGC
rnacentral:rRNA from 1 species